GGGGUGGCGGUGAGGCGGCGGGGCCGAGGCUCUGCUUCGCGGCGGCGGCAGCGCCACUGGCACCGGCAGCGGCACCGGCACCAUGUACGGCUUCGUCAAUCACGCCCUGGAGCUGCUCGUCAUCCGCAACUACGGCCCCGCCGUCUGGGAGGACAUCAAGAAGGAGGCACAGCUGGAUGAAGAAGGACAGUUUCUGGUCAGAAUAAUUUAUGAUGAUUCCAAAACCUAUGACCUGGUUGCAGCUGCAAGCAAGGUCCUUAAUCUAAAUGCUGGGGAAAUUCUUCAAAUGUUUGGGAAGAUGUUUUUUGUGUUUUGUCAAGAAUCUGGUUAUGAUACAAUUCUACGUGUCUUGGGCUCAAAUGUCAGAGAGUUUUUGCAGAACCUGGAUGCUCUGCACGAUCACCUCGCUACUAUUUACCCGGGUAUGCGAGCACCUUCCUUUAGAUGCACUGAUGCAGAGAAGGGGAAGGGGCUCAUUCUGCAUUACUAUUCAGAAAGAGAAGGUCUUCAGGAUAUUGUCAUUGGAAUCAUUAAAACAGUAGCUCAACAGAUCCAUGGUACAGAAAUAGACAUGAAGGUUAUUCAACAGAGAAAUGAGGAGUGUGACCACAUUCAAUUUUUAAUUGAAGAGAAAGAGUCUAAAGAAGAGGACUACUAUGAAGACCUUGACAGAUUUGAAGAAAACGGUACCCAAGAGUCUCGCAUCAGUCCCUAUACUUUCUGCAAGGCCUUUCCUUUCCACAUAAUAUUUGACAGAGAUCUGGUGGUCACGCAGUGUGGCAAUGCUAUAUACAGAGUCCUUCCACAGUUGCAGCCAGGAAAUUGCAGUUUGUUGUCAGUUUUCUCCUUGGUCCGGCCUCAUAUUGAUAUUAGUUUCCAUGGAAUCCUCUCACAUAUCAAUACAGUCUUUGUACUGAGGACUAAGGAGGGGCUGUUGGAUGUGGAAAAGCUGGAGUGUGAAGAUGAACUGACUGGCACAGAAAUCAGCUGCUUACGCCUGAAAGGGCAAAUGAUCUACUUACCUGAAGCUGACAGCAUUCUCUUUCUUUGUUCACCAAGUGUGAUGAACUUGGAUGAUUUAACCAGAAGAGGUUUAUAUCUGAGUGAUAUUCCAUUGCAUGAUGCUACCCGUGAUCUGGUUCUUUUGGGAGAGCAGUUCAGAGAGGAAUAUAAACUGACUCAAGAGCUUGAGAUCCUCACUGACAGACUGCAGCACACACUGCGGGCGCUGGAAGAUGAAAAGAAAAAGACAGACACAUUACUGUACUCUGUUCUACCACCAUCAGUGGCAAAUGAGCUGAGACACAAGCGUCCUGUUCCAGCUAAGCGGUACGACAAUGUGACCAUUCUUUUCAGUGGCAUUGUUGGAUUCAAUGCCUUUUGUAGUAAACAUGCCUCUGGAGAGGGAGCCAUGAAGAUUGUCAAUCUUUUAAAUGAUCUGUACACAAGAUUUGAUAUUCUGACUGAUUCACGAAGGAAUCCAUUUGUUUAUAAGGUGGAAACAGUUGGGGACAAGUACAUGACAGUGAGUGGUUUACCAGAGCCUUGCAUGCAUCAUGCACGAUCUAUCUGUCACCUGGCUUUGGAUAUGAUGGAAAUAGCAGGCCAAGUUCAAGUAGAUGGUGAGCCUGUACAGAUAACAAUAGGAAUCCAUACUGGUGAGGUAGUCACAGGUGUCAUAGGUCAAAGGAUGCCACGGUACUGUCUCUUUGGAAAUACUGUCAAUCUAACAAGCAGAACAGAAACUACUGGAGAAAAGGGAAAGAUCAAUGUCUCCGAAUACACUUACAGGUGUCUUAUGACACCAGAAAAUUCAGAUCCUCAGUUCCAUCUGGAGUACAGGGGUCCAGUUUCUAUGAAGGGCAAAAAAGAACCAAUGCAGGUUUGGUUUUUGUCCAGAAAGAGUACAGAGACAGAGGUAUGAGUAACUAGAAUGUAAUUUUUUUUUUCAAACAAGGCAUAAACAUUACAAAUUUAAUCUAAACCACUGAAAUCCAUUUGCAUUUGCAAAACUAAAUAUUCCCUAAAAAAAUAUGAAGAGUUUUGUACAACACUAUUUACUAUCUUGACAGCACUUGAAAGUCCUUGAUUAUUUGUCUUUGCAGUUUGUGCAGUUCCUGAAAGAGUACUUUUGAUUUCAAAAAGUCCUUGAGGGAAUGCCAAGUGUUUCAAUAUUUAUAUCUCCCUCUUACAGAUUUCUCCACUGUACUAGAUUUUGCAAUAUCAUGUCCAUUUCUGUUUAGCUAGCAUGUCUGGUUAUCAGCACUUCAAAAUUCACCAUUUGUUUUCUUGCAGUUAGUGAAUAAAUGUGCCUUCAAAUAUUUAGGCAACAGUCCAGCAACUACUUGCAAGCAGGUUCACAGCUGAUGAGUAUGGUGAUCUGUUAACCCCUGCUGGGUUGUUCAGAGACUGUUGCAUGGUAGAGGUCUUGCUUUAGAAACAUAUAGGGUGAAAACUAUUUCUUUUAAUGACAUAUGAGCCUAAGUCCUCCUCUGAAAAUGAUGUAGGGUAAAGCUCUUCAAGCACUGAGUGGUCUUUUAGCUUAUGCCUCAAUUUCAGAAUUCCAGGCAUGUAUUAUCCAAAAUCUCGGUAAAAGCCAACGAAAUUUAGACUCGUAAGUGUGCUACAAACUUAUGAGUUACAGUAUGCCAGCUGCUUUGCCAUAGCUGAGUAAGUGCAUACAUUCCACCCAUUGUCAACACGGAGGAGAAAAAUGGGUAAAAGUAAUUUACAUAGCUUGAAUUUUGCCCUAAAGUAAUACAAAAAGAAUGAGUUUUAAACUAAUGUAUUUAAUCUUAAAAAUGCACUUGAAGAAAAUAAUGAAAGUCAUGAAUUAUCUUGGCUGAAAUAAUUCUUGUAAGUCACAGGAAAUUAUUGAUAUGUCUGAAUACUCAUGUAUUUCUGAAAAUGAAGUUUAGGUUGUUAAACUGUUAAGGCUCUUUAGGAGAUCUAAUCCAGAUUUAUUACCACUGGUACCCAAGUAUAUGAAUAAUGAAUUUUUAGUGGUAACUCCCGAUAUUAACCCCUGGUAUUAAACUUCAGGGGAGAGCCUGUACUUUAACUCUGCAUUUAAACUCUGUAUUUUAGUAUGUAUUAUUUAAUUAUAUUCUGAGUGCCACUUUUGAGAAUACUUUUCUAUUCUUAUUCUACAACAAGAUUAACUAUAAUUUCACAUGGCUAUCACUAUUUCAAAUCUAUAGUUGUAUUUAAAAUAUACUUUAAUUAAACACCUGUCACUUCUUUUUUUCUGCAUUAUAAACGUCCUAUCAUUUGUAGCAGGGCACAUUGUAAUUUUAAAUGUAAAUUUCAGGGAGGUACUGAGUCAGGUGGAUAUUUUCCUUGUUUUCAGCCUCACACCUGUUUAAUAUGAAUAUCAGGUUCAGAUAGUUUAGGAUUUUAAAUGUUGCAAUUUCUUUUCAGAGAUCUUGUAUGACAUUUAGUUUUGUUAAUCCUCACAACAGUCCUGAGAGAUACUUGUUAAUACUAUUAACCUAGUAAUUGAGCUUUAUAGAGGGAGACAUGGGGGCAGGAAUAAACCUGACAGAAACAUACUGUGAGCCUGAUUUUCAGGAGCACUUAAGACUCACAGUUUAAGUACAUUCAAAAAGUCUUUCUAAUUUUGAUAGUUUUUGUUAAUUCUGAAAUUAAGAUAUAGAUGUAAUUCUUACAGUCAGAAGGACUUCUCCCAUCAUAGGUAUCUCUUCUAAAUUGUACUAAGUUUCAGAGAAUAAGAGAUUAGAAAGAUACCUUGAUGUGGUGAUGUGAACUGAUAAUCAUUUUGUCAGAGGUGAUUUUGUAAUCCAAAAGCAGAAAUUAGAUAACCAACUUUUUAUGUUUGAUUACUUCAAAGUAAUCACAUUGCUUUAUGCAAGGAUGUAGUAUUGGUUUUCUUUUCAGAAAUUUUUCAGAAUGCAAAUGUAUCAUUGUGUGCGAUGCCACCAAUUUCAGGGGGACUGUUCAUAAUAAUAAAUAUAGCAUUUUACCAUAUAGUUUCUGUACAGAAAGGUCCAGAAUAUUGCAAGAAUUGGCUUGUAGAAGUAAACAUGAAAAUAGUUCUUGAAUCAUCCAGAAGAUAGUUUUGAUGAUUAGGCUUUUACUUUGAAGUUUUCUACCUCCAAUAUCUUUAAUCUAGGAUAGAUGCACAUUAGUGAUAUAUUUUCCUUUUCAUUAUAUCCAUUAGAGAGUUAUUAGCUCAGCAUUUGCAAAUCUGUCAGCAUAAUAUUUUACCCUGAAGACCACUAGUAAAUAUAUGGUAAGGAAAGAGGACAAAAUACUUACAGCUGCUGUAGAGAUGUGAAAGCAAUUCUUAAAAUAUACUCUUGCUCUGCUAGGCCUGUAGAAAAUGAUAGAGUUGAAACAGUUCAGCACGCCUCAAACUUGGUUCCUAAGUUGACAGCUCUAAUAUCAGUUGCCAUGAGCAGCAGUUUCUUCUGAGGAAGACCUAAUUUACAAGAAAAAGUGUUGGUUUGGAGUGCUGCUCCUUUACUUUUUUCCCCGUUUAAGAUAUCUCUUCCAUGAUACCAAUACAGCAAAAAAUAGAAUUGUAUCAAAAAUACACGUAGAACAAAAGCAACAGUGGCCAAUUACUCAUUUUGCAUCUACUUGUUUGCAUGUUUUAAGAUUAAUUAUUGCCAUCUUUAUUAUUUUAACAGUGGUUCAGCUGAAGCUUCUCUCUUGAGAAGCAGAUUUGUUGCAAAAAAUAAAUCUUACAGAGAGCCUCAGAUGUCUGACUGCAAUUUUCCUCCCUCCCCACUUUGAAAUAUCUUUAUCUUCUGCCCUGUUCCCACAUUACUGAUGGGAACAAAUUAAAGUACCUCAUAGCUGGUAGUUCAUCAGGGAAUGUAAGAAUUGUUACAUUCCUACAUACAAUACAUACAAAAGAAAUACAUGCCCUACCUAUGCUUUGUUUUAUUUCUUUUUAUUUACUGAUAUUGGUUGCAAGUUGUAAAAUGUGUUUUGUCACUGCAUUAACCCACCAUGUUGUUGCUUCAAAGAAAAUCCCUUACUUCUUGAAUUCUACUUGCAUGCAUUCAAGGAAACAAAGCAAGACGCUUUCUGAACUGAGGGAAGAGGAAGAGGAUGCUGGAUAGGGUGCAAUACUGUCUCCAAAUAGGGUGCCUGGCAGUAAGCUUGAGUUAUGGAUGUUAUUUCACAUUAUAUCCCAUUGCUACAUGCAGUGCCAUUGUCUUUCGCCCUCCUCCUGAAAUCAUACUCACCAUUUUCCUCCAGGCUUGCUUGCUAAUUUCUUGUCCUUAUUGUUUGGUAUUGUUAUAUCUCUGCUAUGAGCAUGUAUUUCAAGCUUUCCUUUUCUUGAUAUGCAUUUUUGCACGUCAGUCAUUCCUACCCCUGGAUAAUAUUGAAUGAAUCUGUGUAGAAUGCACGCCACAACUAACCACUUCAAUCUGAUGCUUCACAUCUUCAUCUUCAUCUCUGAAGUACAGUGGUUAUGUGAAUUGAUGACAUUGCUGGAAAGAUAGGUGUUUCAGUUGAUGGGCAGAACAAUGAACCUAAAGAACUAUUUUUAAAAACAAUACCUAAAGCAGCAUUAUGAAAAUUAUUGUAUAAAUAUUGUUAUCGGAUUUAGUUCUGCUAUUACCAUGCUUCCCAUUCAUUUUGUGAAUAACAUUUGAUGCACUGUAAAUUCCUGGUUAGAAAAAGGUUUCUCUUUGGAUAGUAUGCUGCAUUUUCCCUUUGUAGAUGCUUUGUAAACAUCUUCUGUAUUGAAAGGGGGCAGUUGUUUUUCUGAUGCUGCCAUUUGAAGCAUGUGCCAAUAUACUUCUACUGAAAUGCUGUUCACUUGCAAUGUAUUUCUCAUUGAUUUGUAUUAAGUAAAUUAAAUUGUCAUAUUAAUUAUAGAUUGCUGGACAAUUUUAGACCACUUGUAGUGCAUUGAUUCUUGUCUCAUGGAGCCCCUGGAAUUGAAGGCAUGCUCUCGGGACAUGGUUGCCAUAGUUGCCUUUUGAUUUGGUCUCUCAAAUUUUCAGAAAUGAUCUUACUUUAUUUCUUGGGAGGACCUGGUAAAAUUCUAGGCAUCAUGGCAUAAUCAAGGGAUGUAAAGCUUGGAAAGGGUCAUAGUGUCUUUUAUCAGCUGAUACAGUUAGUAAAAGUGGACAACGUAUCGGAUGCAUAGAUCUUCCAUAACUUCAGUAUACAGUGCAUUUUUAUGUGAAUAAUAUCUGUUCUUAUCAGACUGAUAAUUUCUGAAUAUUUGUAUUAUGAAAUAGGAUAGUGCAAUUACUUUGUGUACAAAAAUUGUCUAUAUCUAGUAUACCUUAUUAGCACAGAAUAUAUAUGUAUAAAUGUUUCAUGUUAAUGUGCAAAAGAAAUUGCAAUAAAUUAUUUUUUCCACUGA